rnacentral:rRNA from 1 species
UACAUGGGGUGCAAACGUUGCUCGGAAUUAUUGGGCGUAAAGCGCGCGUAGGCGGUUUGUUAAGUCGGAUGUGAAAUCUCUCGGCUCAACUGAGGAAGUGCAUCCGAAACUGGCAAGCUUGAGUACGAAAGAGGGUCGCGGAAUUCCCGGUGUAGAGGUGAAAUUCGUAGAUAUCGGGAGGAACACCGGUGGCGAAGGCGGCGACCUGGGUCGAUACUGACGCUGAGGUGCGAAAGCGUGGGGAGCAAACAGG